GACGAACGCUGGCGGCGUGCUUAACACAUGCAAGUCGAACGGAAAGGCCCUGCUUUUGUGGGGUGCUCGAGUGGCGAACGGGUGAGUAACACGUGAGUAACCUGCCCUUGACUUUGGGAUAACUUCAGGAAACUGGGGCUAAUACCGGAUAGGAGCUCCUGCUGCAUGGUGGGGGUUGGAAAGUUUCGGCGGUUGGGGAUGGACUCGCGGCUUAUCAGCUUGUUGGUGGGGUAGUGGCUUACCAAGGCUUUGACGGGUAGCCGGCCUGAGAGGGUGACCGGCCACAUUGGGACUGAGAUACGGCCCAGACUCCUACGGGAGGCAGCAGUGGGGAAUAUUGCACAAUGGGCGGAAGCCUGAUGCAGCAACGCCGCGUGCGGGAUGACGGCCUUCGGGUUGUAAACCGCUUUCGCCUGUGACGAAGCGUGAGUGACGGUAAUGGGUAAAGAAGCACCGGCUAACUACGUGCCAGCAGCCGCGGUGAUACGUAGGGUGCGAACAUUGUCCGGAUUUAUUGGGCGUAAAGGGCUCGUAGGUGGUUGAUCGCGUCGGAAGUGUAAUCUUGGGGCUUAACCCUGAGCGUGCUUUCGAUACGGGUUGACUUGAGGAAGGUAGGGGAGAAUGGAAUUCCUGGUGGAGCGGUGGAAUGCGCAGAUAUCAGGAGGAACACCAGUGGCGAAGGCGGUUCUCUGGGCCUUUCCUGACGCUGAGGAGCGAAAGCGUGGGGAGCGAACAGGCUUAGAUACCCUGGUAGUCCACGCUGUAAACGGUGGGUACUAGGUGUGGGGUCCAUUCCACGGGUUCCGUGCCGUAGCUAACGCUUUAAGUACCCCGCCUGGGGAGUACGGCCGCAAGGCUAAAACUCAAAGGAAUUGACGGGGCCCCGCACAAGCGGCGGAGCAUGCGGAUUAAUUCGAUGCAACGCGUAGAACCUUACCUGGGUUUGACAUGGAUCGGGAGUGCUCAGAGAUGGGUGUGCCUCUUUUGGGGUCGGUUCACAGGUGGUGCAUGCCUGUCGUCAGCUCGUGUCGUGAGAUGUUGGGUUAAGUCCCGCAACGAGCGCAACCCUUGUUCACUGUUGCCAGCACGUUAUGGUGGGGACUCAGUGGAGACCGCCGGGGUCAACUCGGAGGAAGGUGGGGAUGACGUCAAGUCCUCAUGCCCCUUAUGUCCAGGGCUUCACGCAUGCUACAAUGGCUGGUACAGAGAGUGGCGAGCCUGUGAGGGUGAGCGAAUCUCGGAAAGCCGGUCUCAGUUCGGAUUGGGGUCUGCAACUCGACCUCAUGAAGUCGGAGUCGCUAGUAAUCGCAGAUCAGCAACGCUGCGGUGAAUACGUUCCCGGG
rnacentral:rRNA from 1 species